rnacentral:lncRNA from 1 species
GGCCAAAUCAUUGUAAUGGCUUCUCAGAUAUUAGGAAGGAUGGAUACCUUUGGAAAUUGGAGGAAUCUCCACUGACCCACUCAGAAAACUACAGAUUCCUCAGUCCCACAGGACACAGACUAGAAUCUUCUCAGAGGCACCUAGACAUGGUAUCUCCACUAUUCAUGCAAGUGGUGUCACUUGGGACCAUGGGUGAGUGUCAGAGGCUAAGAAAGUGGGGCAGGUAAAACCUUACAGAAACUUUUUCUCCAUUCAUUUCUUGUGGUUUUUCUUCUGACAGGAGUCCUAGCAUGAAGUGUAUUUCUUCCACUCCCUCCAUUUUGCAGACUAAUUAUUAUGCAGGUCACGUUCCAGUGAGUUCCAAAACCUCAGGAAAAACUGAAAGAUUAUAUUGGCUGUGCAAAAAUCUGACUUGAGUAUAUCAUGGAGGACUAACACUUGUCUUCCCUGAGGAACAGAAGGUCACCAGGGAUUGACUUCACCGAAGUAUUAUCUGUAAAUAGCUUAUGGGAUAAGAAGAAAGGAAGAGAAUCACUUAGAAGGAAGCUAUUGAUAAGUCAUGAGGCCAGGUUUUGUGCUUUGGGGCUCUGAAAUGAAGGUUUCGAUGGGGAAACCUCUGAGAAUGCAAUUUUCUUUGGAUUCUCCCGAAGGCCAGGUUUGGCUGCAGCUUUGAACUUCCAGACACUUUUAUAUAUGUACUUUCAGUCCAGCUAAUUUUUAGGGCAUGAAUAAAAUAUUUCAAAUCUUGACUUUUGUGGAUUAUCAAAAUCAAUCUUAAGACCUGAUUUGCCAUUACUUAGGGGUAACAUAAAGUUUAAUUUUAUGCUAUUUAAUAUGUUUAAUAACUCAGGUGAAGAACGGAGAGGC